rnacentral:rRNA from 1 species
AGAGUUUGAUCCUGGCUCAGGAUAAACGCUGGCGGCGUGCAUAAAACAUGCAAGUCGGACGGAUGGCUUCGGCCAUCAGUGGCGGACGGCUGAGUAACACGUAAGUGACCUACCCUCGAGUGGGGAAUAACUGCUCGAAAGAGUGGCUAAUACCGCAUAAGCUCGCCUUUUCGUUGGGGUGAGUAAAGCAGUAAUGCGCUUGAGGAUGGGCUUGCGGCCGAUUAGCUAGUUGGUGAGGUAAAGGCCCACCAAGGCGAUGAUCGGUAGCUGGUCUGAGAGGAUGAUCAGCCAGACUGGGACUGCGACACGGCCCAGACUCCUACGGGAGGCAGCAGUUAGGAAUUUUGCGCAAUGGACGAAAGUCUGACGCAGCAACGCCGCGUGGAGGACGAAGGCCCUCGGGUCGUAAACUCCUUUUCCAGGGGAAGAUAGUGACGGUACCCUGGGAAUAAGCCCCGGCUAACUACGUGCCAGCAGCCGCGGUAAUACGUAGGGGGCGAGCGUUGUCCGGAUUUACUGGGCGUAAAGAGCGCGUAGGCGGCUUGUCAAGUCGUGCGUGAAAUACCUCGGCUCAACCGGGGGAUGUCGGGCGAUACUGGCAGGCUUGAGGCUGGUAGGGGGAAGUGGAAUUCCCGGUGUAGUGGUGGAAUGCGUAGAUAUCGGGAGGAACACCAGUGGCGAAGGCGGCUUCCUGGACCAGUCCUGACGCUGAGGCGCGAAAGCGUGGGGAGCGAACUGAAUUAGAUACUCAGGUAGUCCACGCUGUAAACUAUGGGUGCUAGGUGUCGGGGGUAUCGACCCCUCCGGUGCCGCAGCUAACGCAUUAAGCACCCCGCCUGGGGAGUACGGCCGCAAGGCUAAAACUCAAAGGAAUUGACCGG